CCUGAAACGCAUACUUCAGGAUUAGGAACACACCCAGUGACAUCAGGGGUUUGAAGAAGAAGAAAAAGUCUCAAGUCAAAUUGUGCAGAGGAGCAACUAGAGGGCCGAAAGGUCCUUAUCGGUUUUCUCUCUGUGUUAAGUGUUUUUGGCUGCGGAGAGUUUGGGAAACAAGCUGUUCAGACUGUGCGUAAACUUUUUACUGAAGCGAACCGUGGAGCGCAGAGUCGCGUUUCUCAAGAGAGGAGGAUGUCAACUUCAGACGAGGCAGACGGGCUCCGGCCGAGAUAUGGCUCUGUCCUGGAUGGCGUGGAGCGGCUUACGGCGGAGGAGAUGGAUGAGCAGCGGCAGCAGAACAUGGCCUAUGAGUACCUGUGUCACCUGGAGGAAGCCAAACGGUAAGAGCUGGAAGACAGUUCGCCUGUGAGUGGGCUGAACCUCUGCAAGCUGCAAAAAGAGAGAGGAAGAGCCUGCGAUGACUCCGGCUCUGAUUCAUGUCGCAAAUGUCUGUCACUCUAAGGCUCAGCAUUUCAGUUCCAAAGAAUUAUAUUAUGUAGAAAGAAAUAUAGAGCGGCCAUUAGGGAUGCAACUAACGAUUAUUUCUAAUAUCAAGUUUAGCCCAUUCAGACUUGCUGUUAAUAUCCAGUUCAGUGAAGUGGACAAUGUUUUGAUUGUCUGAUGUCCACUCACUCGCUGGUAUAGGCACCAAUAUUGACCUUAUUAAAUGGAUUGGGUAUCGUCCAUGACGCGAGUGAUCCACAUUAAAUACAGGCUCUCUCUGUCAGUGUCAUUAGAAAAUUCAUGGUUUCCAUUACAUUCAGUCAAAGCAGGCCACUCACUGACUGGCUGGUUUUCAGUGCCACAGCAAUUUCUGGCCUCAUGUUGCUUUCCAAAAGUUUCACUCAGUGAGGGGAAACAUAUUUUACAUGUGGUUAAAAGUGAGCACAGACUGGUGCGGGGUAUUAGCGGUAGUAGCAACUGAAAUCUCUCACAAUCUGAGAUUCAGACAUUCAGACUUGUUUUUACUCUGCAGUUCAGUGCAGUGCACUUCAAUGACCUCUUGGUCACUUCUUUGACCUCCUGGUGGUCAAACCUCAGUGUUUUUUCGGUACCGACUGUAACACAGAGAAUCAAAAACUGUCAAAUACUGAAAGUUGCCAUUGAAUGUCUGGUCAGAUUAAUCUUGUUAAGUAUUCUUUGAUCGUUUCCACAUUUAGAUAAUGAUCCUGCCAGUUUUGAUCUUUUAUUUAACAUCUUUGGCUUCUUGGUUUUGUAGAAACCCUUGAAACAUUUAAAAGUCCAACAGGUCUGCUCCAUGCAAUAAAGUAACUUUUUUUUUUUUU